UGUUGCAGAAGACUUAUACUGUAAAAACAAUACAAUUAGACUUAUAAGUAGUGCGAAUUUUCUUACAAAGCAGAAUUCAUCUCAAUAAUAAAGCAAAAUUAUAUCGACUCGAUAAAUAUGAUUGCUUUUAAUAAAUUUUAUUCUAUUUAAAAAAAAAUCACAUAUAAUUUAGUGAAACAUACUUGAACCAAAGACCCUGACAUUUUAUUGGUCGUACAAAAUGUGUGCGACAUAACAUCGAACGCUAGAUAACCAAUUUGCAGACCAAGAUCAUCUUUUAGCCGAUUUGUUCCUUAUGAUUUGUAGCAUGACUUAGUUAUAAAUUAUUUUGUAACCUCAACCUCUAAUGCUCAAAACUGUUCUGGACUUGAAUUGUUCGUUACUUUGUUUUUUUUUUUCUUUUUUUUUUAAUUCCUUUGUUCGCAAUAAAUCUUAAUCUAAAUAAUCUUAUCCACCUGCCUGCGAAUCCGUGUUGUUUAGAAAACGUCAAAACAACUAAAAGUCCUGCUAAACCAUCGCACUUCAGCGAAAGGACCAUCGCACUUCGGCGUAGACCAUCGCACUUCAGCGUGACCAUCGCACUUCAGCGUGACCAUCGCACUUCAGCGUCCCCAUCGCACCUCCGAGUCCUACAUAUAUA
rnacentral:lncRNA from 1 species